rnacentral:misc_RNA from 1 species
UUGAAUAAAUUUGGAUUCGGUUGUUGCUGGCUUUUAGAAGCAUGUGCACAUCAAAUCCAUUUCUUCAACCUCCUGUGCACCUUCUGUAGGCCUGAAUCUCUCUCAAGGAAGCUUUCCUUGGUUCGAGAAUUUGCUGUGUGAAAGCCCAGCUUUUCUUGUGUUUCUGGUCUACGCUUAUAUAUACACCCCAAAAAAUGUAAAUAGAAUGUUGCAAUAGGACUUUGUGCCUUUAAAAAACAAAUACAACUUUCAACAACGGAUCUCUUGGCUCUCGCAUCGAUGAAGAACGCAGCGAAAUGCGAUAAGUAAUGUGAAUUGCAGAAUUCAGUGAAUCAUCGAAUCUUUGAACGCACCUUGCGCUCCUUGGUAUUCCGAGGAGCAUGCCUGUUUGAGUGUCAUGAAAUUCUCAACCUCUCUAGCUUUAACAAACUAGUUAGGCUUGGAUUGUGGGUGUUGCUGGAUUUUCAUAAGCCAGCUCUCCUUAAAUGCAUUAGCAAGAUCAUUGUACUGAUCAUGUCUGGUAUGAUAAUUAUCUAUAUCAUUCAUGACCAGUUUCCUUUAUGGAAAAUUUUGCUUCCAACAGUCUCUAUUUGAGACAAUUCUGACAAUU